rnacentral:rRNA from 1 species
GAUGAACGCUGGCGGCGUGCCUAAUACAUGCAAGUCGAGCGAACGGACGAUAAGCUUGCUUCUCUGAUGUUAGCGGCGGACGUGUGAGUAACACGUGGAUAACCUACCUAUAAGACUGGGAUAACUUCGGGAAACCGGAACUAAUACCGGAUGAUAUUUUGAACCGCAUGGUUCAAAAGUGAAAGACGGUCUUGCUGUCACUUAUAGAUGUAUCCGCGCUGCAUUAGCUGGUUGGUAAGGUAACGGCUUACGAAGGCAACGAUGGAUAGCCGACCUGAGAGGGUGAUCGGCCACACUGGAACUGAGACACGGUACAGAAUCCUACGGGAGGCAGCAGUAGGGAAUGUUCCGCAAUGGGCGAAAUCCUGGCGGAGCAGCGCCGCGUGAGUGCUGAAGGUCUUCGGAUCGUAAAACUCUGUUAGUAGGGAAGACCAUAUGUGUAAGUAACUGUGCACAUCGUGACGGUACCUAAUCAGAAAGCAACGGCUAACUACGUG